AAGUGUUUUGGCUCUUUUAGAAUUUAUCUAACAGAUUUUCUGGUCCUUUCCAGAAGAGCCCAU
rnacentral:snRNA from 1 species